rnacentral:misc_RNA from 1 species
UGAGGCUGGUGGAUAAAUCCUAUAUCUGC